CCACCACCAGGACCGCAGAACCAAAAAGGUGGACAAAUUUGCUUCAGGAUGUCAAUAAAGCUGCCCUUAAUGAUGGGCUUCAGGCUGACUGCAAUGGACUGUGUGCAGCACACCUGGAUAUCGUGUGAAUCUGUUACUGCUACAGCUGUGAAACUCUUCUGACAAAGGAUCCAAUGCUUCUUCUCUACUGGAAACUGUUUCUGGCAGCAUGUACGUGACCGUCUUCAGUGUUGAGUGGAAAAACGGAAAUAAAUAUAAGGCACAGUUCUUGGAUUCUCAGAACUUACGUUGAUUGGCAAAAGCUGCAAUUAAAUAUUUACAGAAAACAGGUAAGAAGGCAUACCAUAAAUCACAUCUAAUUUUAGUAUAGAAAUAACGACAGAAUUAAAGCUUGUGUUGUUGACUAAGGACCUGAUGCUAAACCCCUUACAGAAUUAAUUACAAGCAUCACAUUGAGUUAAGUAAAAAUUGUACUUCUGUAUGGUAUAAAUCUGUUUCUGAAAGGUGUAGCAAGAGUUCAAACAGUGAA